GUGUGAAGAAGGCCCUCGGGUUGUAAAGCACUUUCAGCGAGGAAGAACGCCUAGCGGUUAAUACCCGCUAGGAAAGACAUCACUCGCAGAAGAAGCACCGGCUAACUCCGUGCCAGCAGCCGCGGUAAUACGGAGGGUGCAAGCGUUAAUCGGAAUUACUGGGCGUAAAGCGCGCGUAGGUGGCUUGAUAAGCCGGUUGUGAAAGCCCCGGGCUCAACCUGGGAACGGCAUCCGGAACUGUCAAGCUAGAGUGCAGGAGAGGAAGGUAGAAUUCCCGGUGUAGCGGUGAAAUGCGUAGAGAUCGGGAGGAAUACCAGUGGCGAAGGCGGCCUUCUGGACUGACACUGACACUGAGGUGCGAAAGCGUGGGUAGCAAACAGGAUUAGAUACCCUGGUAGUCCACGCCGUAAACGAUGUCGACCAGCCGUUGGGUGCCUAGCGCACUUUGUGGCGAAGUUAACGCGAUAAGUCGACCGCCUGGGGAGUACGGCCGCAAGGUUAAAACUCAAAUGAAUUGACGGGGGCCCGCACAAGCGGUGGAGCAUGUGGUUUAAUUCGAUGCAACGCGAAGAACCUUACCUACUCUUGACAUCCUGCGAAUUUGGUAGAGAUACCUUAGUGCCUUCGGGAACGCAGAGACAGGUGCUGCAUGGCUGUCGUCAGCUCGUGUUGUGAAAUGU
rnacentral:rRNA from 1 species